rnacentral:rRNA from 1 species
GACGAACGCUGGCGGCGUGCCUAAUACAUGCAAGUAGAACGCUGAAGAGAGGAGCUUGCUCUUCUUGGAUGAGUUGCGAACGGGUGAGUAACGCGUAGGUAACCUGCCUUGUAGCGGGGGAUAACUAUUGGAAACGAUAGCUAAUACCGCAUAACAAUGGAUGACACAUGUCAUUUAUUUGAAAGGGGCAAUUGCUCCACUACAAGAUGGACCUGCGUUGUAUUAGCUAGUAGGUGAGGUAACGGCUCACCUAGGCGACGAUACAUAGCCGACCUGAGAGGGUGAUCGGCCACACUGGGACUGAGACACGGCCCAGACUCCUACGGGAGGCAGCAGUAGGGAAUCUUCGGCAAUGGGGGCAACCCUGACCGAGCAACGCCGCGUGAGUGAAGAAGGUUUUCGGAUCGUAAAGCUCUGUUGUAAGUCAAGAACGAGUGUGAGAGUGGAAAGUUCACACUGUGACGGUAGCUUACCAGAAAGGGACGGCUAACUACGUGCCAGCAGCCGCGGUAAUACGUAGGUCCCGAGCGUUGUCCGGAUUUAUUGGGCGUAAAGCGAGCGCAGGCGGUUUGAUAAGUCUGAAGUUAAAGGCUGUGGCUCAACCAUAGUUCGCUUUGGAACUGUCAAACUUGAGUGCAGAAGGGGAGAGUGGAAUUCCAUGUGUAGCGGUGAAAUGCGUAGAUAUAUGGAAGGAACAACGGUGGCGAAAGCGGCUCUCUGGUCUGUAACUGACGCUGAAGACUCGAAGGCGUGGGGAGCGAAAAAAAUUAAUUCCCUAGAAUCCCAAAGACGAAUUCACAUGGAUAUCAGCUUAUCGAUACCGCCACCUCCAGGGGGGCGCGGGACCCCGCUGUUGUUCCUGUUGUGCGAGAAGUGACUGAUUCAC